AUCAUAUUUAUUCAACGUUCAAACAAAUCACCGUUCAAUUGUUUAUGCAUAACCCGAUCAUGAACUCGACCUCGAGAGGCCACAAUAUUAUCAAAAUUUGAAAGUAUAUAUGUACAGUUGAAAUCUU
rnacentral:sRNA from 1 species